GAUGAACGCUAGCGGCAGGCCUAACACAUGCAAGUCGAGGGGUAACAUAGAAAAGCUUGCUUUUCUGAUGACGACCGGCGCACGGGUGCGUAACGCGUAUACAACCUACCUUUUAGCGGGGAAUAGCCCAGGGAAACUUGGAUUAAUGCCUCAUAGUAUAUAGACUUCUCCUGAAGUGUAUAUUAAACAUUUAUGGCUAUUAGAUGGGUAUGCGUCCUAUUAGUUAGUUGGUAAGGUAACGGCUUACCAAGGCAGCGAUAGGUAGGGGUCCUGAGAGGGAGAUCCCCACACUGGUACUGAGACACGGACCAGACUUCUACGGGAGGCAGCAGUGAGGAAUAUUGGACAAUGGGCGAGAGCCUGAUCCAGCCAUGCCGCGUGCAGGAAGACUGCCCUAUGGGUUGUAAACUGCUUUUACAGAGGAAGAACCACCCCCACGUGUGGGGGUUUGACGGUACUCUGCGAAUAAGGAUCGGCUAACUCCGUG
rnacentral:rRNA from 1 species